CCUACGGGUGACAGCAGUGAGGAAUAUUGGUCAAUGGACGGAAGUCUGAACCAGCCAUGCCGCGUGCAGGAAGACGGCUCUAUGAGUUGUAAACUGCUUUUGUACAAGGGUAAACCUGAAUACGUGUAUUCAGCUGAAAGUACUGUACGAAUAAGGAUCGGCUAACUCCGUGCCAGCAGCCGCGGUAAUACGGAGGAUGCGAGCGUUAUCCGGAUUUAUUGGGUUUAAAGGGUGCGCAGGCGGCCUGUUAAGUCAGCGGUAAAAGCCCGGGGCUCAACCCCGGCGAGCCGUUGAAACUGGCGGGCUGGAGUUGGAGAGAAGUACGCGGAAUGCGCGGUGUAGCGGUGAAAUGCUUAGAGAUCAUACAGAACACCGAUUGCGAAGGCAGCUUACCAAUCUAUAUCUGACGUUGAGGCACGAAAGCGUGGGGAGCAAACAGGAUUAGAUACCCCGGUAGUC
rnacentral:rRNA from 1 species